AGGACGAACGCUGGCGGCGCGCUUAAUACAUGCAAGUCGAGCGAUAACCGGACCUUCGGGUCCGGGAAAGCGGCGAACGGGUGAGUAACACGUGGGUAAUCUGCCCUUGGUACUGGGAUAGCCCGGGGAAACCCGGAUUAAUACCGGAUAGCCUUUCGAGCUCUCGGGCUCGUUAGAAAAGGUGGCUUCGGCUUCCGACUGAGGAUGAGCCCGCGGCGGAUUAGCUUGUUGGUGAGGUAAUGGCUCACCAAGGCUCCGAUCCGUAGCUGGUCUGAGAGGACGAUCAGCCACACUGGGACUGAGACACGGCCCAGACUCCUACGGGAGGCAGCAGUAGGGAAUCUUGCGCAAUGGGCAAAGCCUGACGCAGCGACGCCGCGUGCGGAAGAAGGCCUUCGGGUUGUAAACCGCUUUCAGGAGGACGAAGCCACUCGGUUAAUACCCCGAGAGGUGACGGUACCUCCGAGAAGAAGCCCGGCUAACACGUGCCAGCAGCCGAC
rnacentral:rRNA from 1 species